rnacentral:rRNA from 1 species
GACAGAGGCCCCAAGCGUUAGGCGGAAUCACUGGGCUUAAAGCGUGUGUAGGCGGAUCGUUAAGUGUCUUGUGAAAUCCCACGGCUCACCCGUGGAACUGCUGGGCAUACUGGCGAUCUUGGGCCAACUAGGGGCAGCCGGAACAAGCGGUGGAGCGGUGAAAUGCGUAGAUAUCGCUUGGAACGCCGAAGGUGAAAACAGGCUGCUGGGGUUGCGCCGACGCUGAGACACGAAAGCCAGGGGGGCAAACGGG